rnacentral:rRNA from 1 species
UACGGAGGAUGCAGGCGUUAUCCGGAUUUAUUAGGUUUAAAGGGUGCGCAGGCGGCCCGGUAAGUCAGCGGUGAAAGUUUGCAGCUCAACUGUAAAAUUGCCAUUGAUACUGCCGGGCUUGAAUACGGUAGAGGUAGGCGGAAUGUGUAGUGUAGCGGUGAAAUGCUUAGAUAUUACACAGAACACCGAUUGCGAAGGCAGCUUACUAUGCCGCGAUUGACGCUCAGGCACGAAAGCGUGGGUAGCGAACAGGAUUAGAUACCCUGGUAGUCCACGCCGUAAACGAUGAUUACUGGUUGUGCGCGAUAUACAGUGCGCGACUGAGGGAAACCAUUAAGUAAUCCACCUGGGGAGUACGGCCGCAAGGCUGAA